UACGUAGGGUGCAAGCGUUAAUCGGAAUUACUGGGCGUAAAGCGUGCGCAGGCGGCUUUGCAAGACAGAUGUGAAAUCCCCGGGCUUAACCUGGGAACUGCAUUUGUGACUGCAUGGCUGGAGUGCCGCAGAGGGGGAUGGAAUUCCGCGUGUAGCAGUGAAAUGCGUAGAUAUGCGGAGGAACACCGAUGGCGAAGGCAAUCCCCUGGGCCUGCACUGACGCUCAUGCACGAAAGCGUGGGGAGCAAACAGG
rnacentral:rRNA from 1 species